CCUACGGGUGGCAGCAGUGGGGAAUAUUGGACAAUGGGCGAAAGCCUGAUCCAGCCAUGCCGCGUGUGUGAAGAAGGCCUUCGGGUUGUAAAGCACUUUCAGUGGGGAAGAAAGCCUUGGGGCUAAUACCCUCGAGGAAGGACAUCACCCACAGAAGAAGCACCGGCUAACUCCGUGCCAGCAGUCGCGGUAAUACGGAGGGUGCGAGCGUUAAUCGGAAUUACUGGGCGUAAAGCGCGCGUAGGCGGUCUGAUAAGCCGGUUGUGAAAGCCCCGGGCUCAACCUGGGAACGGCAUCCGGAACUGUCAGGCUAGAGUGCAGGAGAGGAAGGUAGAAUUCCCGGUGUAGCGGUGAAAUGCGUAGAGAUCGGGAGGAAUACCAGUGGCGAAGGCGGCCUUCUGGACUGACACUGACGCUGAGGUGCGAAAGCGUGGGUAGCAAACAGGAUUAGAUACCCGAGUAGUC
rnacentral:rRNA from 1 species